GGGGGCUAAGGGGGAGAGGAGGGAAUGAGAGGGAAAAGGAUGAUUAGAGGGGAAGGAAGUGGAGCAGGGGAGAGGAAGGGAGGGGAGGGGAGGGGAAAGGAGGAAGGGAGGAGGGGACGGGCAUGUCCAUAUAACAACAAGAAGGACUGCUACCAAUAUUUUAUUUCCAGCUUUAAGCCCGCUCCAGAUUCAGGGCUGGAACUCUGCUAACACUGUCUGUCAGUUUCCUGUAAGGUUUCUGUCAAAGGGAGCACAAGAGAGCUGGGGAGGAGCCAGGACCUGUUCUUCCUGUAGGCUACCUCCCUGUGGGCUUCCUGUCUGUUGUUGGUUCCUAAGACAGGCAGUCACCUUGGCAGCAUCUCUCCACCUCACUCUCUCCCCCACAGCCACUGACAGCUCCUUCCAGGAGGCCUCCUGAACUCCAUUUUCUGUUGUUCUACUCUGUACACCCACUGCACCAGUCUUCAGGAUCUGCGUCUCACCUUUCCUAACUCAGAGAUCCCGGGGCCAGCCAGCCUUCACUGAGACUGUCACCUCCGUGGGACUCUACAUCUUCAUUUUGAAUUUUACUCAUUAUCAUCUCCUCACGUUGUUCCCAAAGCUCUGAAGUCGAUAGCUCCUCCUACUCUCAUCAUACCUCAAAAUCACUUCUGUAUCCUUGCAGGGUCCAGAAAUACCGGAAGCAAGAAAGGAAAAGCACAAAGCUUCCCUUCCAAGGUGCUCAUCAGGCGGGAGAAAGGUAGGUGCCUUUCAGUGUGUUUACAAUGUACUCCAUCUCAGCCCUCAGCCUUCCUUAACUCAUCCGCCCCCACCCCCAGCUUUCUGAAGAGCAACAUGUAAUUAGAGCACUAACGAGGUCAUUUAGCAGAAACCAUGGGUAGGGAGUAAUGAGUGUGCUAUCAGGCUUGGAGAACAGCUUGGGCAAAAAUCCAAACAGUCCAUGUUCAACUCUGAUGAGCCGACCUAAGCUUGGAAAACAGAGUUUAGAGAAAGGUUAAUAAUAGGACACACAGAGACACACAGACAACAAUAACAACAACAGCAACAACAAAAUCAAACAAGCCCUAAAGCUUUCUCCCUAGACUCCCAAGGCAAAAGGUCUGAGGGCCUAAGCGCAGCACUUAAGAGCUGGUUCGUAGGGAGAAGCUGAGUUCCUCUGUCUCUUGUACCUAGCAAGGCCACUUGAUCAACUCAGGGUCAUUCCUGGGGCCUGGUGCAAUGCAAAACCUGGAAUGGACUUCCGAGCUCAGCCAAUUCAACCUCCUCUGCACAUUUCACACAGUUGAACUUAGAGCACUCCAGCACACUAAAGUCCCUCCCCCGUCUAAUUAGAAAGAGACAGACUAAGGACCAAGGUCCCUGAUGAGCACGCAGAUGUUGGAGCCACUACCCAGCCUGUCCUAUGCUUCUGAGGAAGCCAUCUUGGAGACCCUUUUGACUGUUAGUAGACAGUGAGACUAGAGCUGGGUGUGGUUUCACUUAAGCCGUUAUUAAGGUAAUUAGGUCCCAGAAAAAUAAAUACAUCCCUCCUGCAGUGUGCAUCUAAGAUGCGUGGAAAGGAAGCAGCCACUGGAAACAUCCAAAGAGAACUCCUUCGAACAAGUAAGGGGAAGAGACGGAAGGCCUCCCCACCGAUUCCCACAACCGAGCUCCGCCCACCUUAUCGCAGCCUGCCCCAUCCACUCGAAGAGUUGUCUAAGCUCUACAAGUGCCAGGCGCUGCUGGGAAAGAGGGUAAAUAAUGGGCCGCAAACUCUAUUAUGCUUUUUUUCUUCACAUCUUAUAGAGGCUGUUGGAAUGAAGAAAAUAAAAAUUAAUGCAAGAGUGUUUUGUUGUUAUGCCUUUUAUGCCGUUACUGGACACUAAAAGAACAACCAGGAUUAUAAGAAAGGAUCCACCGAAACUUUUAAUAUGAUAAAGCAUUUCUGUGUCCAAAAGGAGGAAAACUUUUGUUCUGUUUUUUUCCAGAUAUUAAUGACAUAUCCUUAUAUAUUUCCUUUUUUUUUUUCUACUUAAAAGCAAUAAAUCUAGGAG
rnacentral:lncRNA from 1 species